rnacentral:rRNA from 1 species
UACGUAGGGUGCGAGCGUUAAUCGGAAUUACCGGGCGUAAAGCGUGCGCAGGCGGUUCGCCAAGUCAGGUGUGAAAUCCCCGGGCUUAACCUGGGAAUUGCGCUUGAAACUAGCGGGCUUGAGUGCGGCAGAGGGGGGUGGAAUUCCACGUGUAGCAGUGAAAUGCGUAGAGAUGUGGAGGAACACCGAUGGCGAAGGCAGCCCCCUGGGAUAACACUGACGCUCAUGCACGAAAGCGUGGGGAGCAAACAGG